rnacentral:lncRNA from 1 species
AGUGCAUCCAUAGAUAGGUUCAUAAUAAAUUAUUUCUUUAAAUAACUUCUAGCAAUAAGUUUUGCCCUAGGCUUCCCUUCAGUAGGUGUGUGGCACCUCCAUUGAAAAUCUCGGUUAGGUCCAACCAUUAACAUGACACACCAAGUACAUCUAACAAAUAGAUGUCUAGACCCGAGUGUGGCUCGACCAACCUGAGCAUUGAUAUGAAGGUACAUCAUGAUGGUCAUUUGAUGAAUGACAAUUUCAAUAUGUAAUAGACACUAGGCGUGUGGCGUCUCCAAUGCCUAUUUGAAAU